rnacentral:rRNA from 1 species
UACGUAGGGUGCAAGCGUUGUCCGGAAUUAUUGGGCGUAAAGAGCUCGUAGGCGGUUUGUCGCGUCUGCUGUGAAAACUCGGGGCUUAACCCCGGGCCUGCAGUGGGUACGGGCAGACUAGAGUGCGGUAGGGGAGACUGGAAUUCCUGGUGUAGCGGUGAAAUGCGCAGAUAUCAGGAGGAACACCGGUGGCGAAGGCGGGUCUCUGGGCCGAUACUGACGCUGAGGAGCGAAAGCGUGGGGAGCGAACUGG